CUCCUGGCGAGACCUGGAGGUGGGAGGAGGAGGAGGAGGAUGAGGGGGGUGGAUGACCCGGGACAUCGGCUGGUCUCUCCUGAUGUCCUCCUGGCCUUUCAUGAUCAUCACAGUCCCAGGCUGGUGGCGCAAGCACAGAAAGUCAUUGUUUCACUUCCCAUGCAAUGGUCGAUGUCACACUCACGUUCUCAGAGGACUGCAGCGUGUGCGUCGCCCUGGUGGAGCUGACAUCCUGUUUCCUGUCAGCUGACCCUUCCCACUUCCUGCUGUCCUCCUCCCGCUGCGGCUCCAGUCGGUGAGAGACCUGCAGGCCAGAGGAAGUACAGAUUUAAAAACCUUACAAUUACAGUACACUUUCAUGUUAUACGUCAUGUUACCCAUCAAACUGCACUUUCAGUGAUUUUACUGAAAGAAAAAAAGGGGGGGGAUACUAAAUUAAGAUGAUAAGGACGGUGCAAUAUUUGCAUGUAGCUUUGUACAGUUGCCAUAACAACCAGCAAAAAGAGGACCUGCGAUGUACAUCUAAUACUGAACCACAACUCUAUUCACUGAAGAUAAUAAUAAACGGUGGAGUGUCUUUAUAUGUAAAUGGUCAAAGAAGAUAUUUGGAGCCGUGAUUGGCGAAAUUAAGCCGCGCAGCUUCACAUCAAAAUAAAACUCUUAAUCACAUCGAUUAACCUGUCAUCUAUUUAAGCCAACAGUAAACCAAUAUUAUAUCAAUAUCUGACUGUUUUUCUGGCCAGGAUAGUCCACAAGGCGUCUGCUCUAACUUACCUUAUGGUUCAUUUCCUCCUCUGUGGUCCUGCUCUCCAAAGGCUCCGCAUCCCCGUAGAUCAGAGUCCCGCUGCGGCCCAUCUUGACGUGUUUCUUGUAUGUGUAGUAAAACUCCACACACUGUGCCACUGUUUUGGUGGUCACCUAUGAAACACACACACAGACACACACACACGCAGGCACUGUUAUUGGAGUUUUAGUUACAACAUUUUUUGUUGAAUAUCAGAGCAUGUUACUGAAAGGUAGGUACAGACAUCUCCUGUGGAGAAGAAAAACACUGAGCAGCAAGCAAUCAUGUCAUGCAGUUUUAUUAAUUAAUCAUCAUCAGACCAAAAACAAGUAAAUUAACACUGCCUGAACAUGGAAAAGCAGCACAAUCUCACAUUUGAGAAGCUGUACUCACAAAACGCUGGUCAUUUUCCACUUAUUUGAGUAUCAAAUGAUCCGUUAAAUCUGGAACAUCAAUCAGAUCAUCUAAACUACUGAUUUAAAGAUAGACUGAAGUAAAAGAUGCUAAACAGACUAAAUGUUUUGUCUGUGACGUCACAAUUCAUGCUUGGGUGACGCAAAGGGUGAAAAGGACAGAGCCACCACCUCAGGGUAAACACACUCAUUUUAGAUUGAAAGAGGAUUUAGACACGUUUAAAUUGCAGCACACAACAAAGGGGUUCAUUCAUCAAAAUAAGGAACCUUUUCAUUUGAUGAAAUGACGUUUGGCCAAUCGACAGCCACGUUUAUGUUUAUUAAAAGACUGUGACACUGCAAAUGAUUACACGGGGGAGGAAACGUUCCACAGUGACUAUACUUCCCUUUCUCCGCCCCAUCAAAGGGAGGACAGGAUAUUAUCUAGUGUGCACUCUUUAACUGGGAAUUUGUGCUGACUGCACAGCCACAAGAAGGUUUUUGUCCUUGCAUGGUAAGAGCGGGCAGCUUUGAUUUAGUCUGAGACUUUGCACAUACCUGUUUCUGCACCAUGAAGAAGUCCUUCUUGUACGCACUGAUGCCUUUGUUGAACUGGCGUCUCUCAGCUGCUGUCCAGCUGUCUGAUCCUGAGGGAGAGAGACGCAGUGUGUUAGUGGCCGACUAGAACACAUUUAAUCACAUAACAAGUAUCCUGCUUAAUUCUGUGUGUGUGUGUCAGCGAGCCAGACAAGUCCGGCCCCACCCCCACCACUCUUAAAACCACACACACACACAUUUGCACAAAUCACUUGAUAAACAAUGGCUCUCCUGUCUUCUGCCUGGGAUUAAAACUGUAGAAAAAAAACCCUCCCUUUUCCCCUCCUUGGCUUAUUAUGUUGACCCUGACAAUCCUCCACAUUCACCCACUGCCCCCCACUCCCCACUACCAUUACCACCGUCACCAACACCAGCACCAAGGCCACGCUCUCAUUGCUGCAGCUGCCGUUACUUAAAAGCAGAAGACUUAGAAAGGUCAACGCUGUUUAAUGGUGAUAAGACAGAAAUUAAAAGGAAGGAAAAUCCUCUCUAUGUGGUUAAGAACUUCAGAAUAAACAUAGCGUAUUUGGUCUUGAUGAGAAUUAGGAUUAUUGCAUCAAAUGGCGCGUUUCCACUAGCUCGACUUGACUCGCCUCGGCGUGGUUAUUUUGCGUUUCCAUUAGCUAUAGUACCUGGUAUCUGAUACUUUUUUGAGUACCUGCAUUGGCGAGGUUCCCAGCAAGCUUAGGCGAUACUAUGCGUGACGUCGCCAGACUGCUGGCCACUGAUAAGUCAGAGUGCCGUCACAGGAAGAAACGUGCGACACAAGAACCAAGCCGAACAAUGCCGAACUUUCAGUCCAGUAACUGUGCCAGACGGAGCCCGUGCUCCGGUCACGGAGAAAGUACUGUACUUUAAUUAACUGAUUCUAAUGAUUCAGUUACACUGAAAACAACAGCUUUACAAGUCACUAGUCACCCGUUUGUGUGUGUGUGUCGCGUGUAAAACAAAGUCACGACAGUUUCAUGCAGCCGUGCAGUGAUGACUCCGCCUGCGUUGAGUAGGUACUACAUUGUAAUGGAAAAUAACCUUGCGAAGCGAGCUGGGACCAUAGGUGGAAAAGGGGCUUUAUGUUCAGAGCAGCAGAUGGGUGGAGUUUAACCGAUUAAGGGAUGAGGAUGCAAGGAAAUGAAGUAUUCAAUUGAGUCGACUUCCUGUGACUGAUAAUGUACUUUUAACCAGAGUUGGUUGCUGCACGAUAUGAUUCAUGAUUGAACUUCACAAUCCUUCCAGUCCUAUCAGUUUUUUCCAACUAAAUAUUUAAAAAGUGAUCACUUAGAAUUCCCAAUACCAUAUUUCCCUUUGCUCUCGAAAGUCUAAAAGUCUAGAUUAACUGGUUAAUUGUUUCAGCUCUGAAUAAAUUGCAUCUAUUCACUAUGACAGGUAAAGAAAUCCAUCCCAUUUAAAUAACCAUAAUGACUAUUUUUAUAUGACUUACCUGAGUAGUGGUAGUUUGACAGAUUGUGAGACUUUGGGAAAAUUGGAUUCCUCAGCAUCAGGAACGCCAGAGCAGCCUGGAAAAAAAACAGUAUUAUCACACAACUGUUACCAAGUGAAGGAACUUUACACAUUAGCUACACGGCAGAAAUUGUGUUUGAGAAAAGAAAACAAAAGAACACACACAGCCACGAAUCGUAAAAACAACCAAGGAAUGAGAUAACCAGCGCUCUCAUUUUCCUGCGAGUAUCAAGAGCCGGCAUCUUAUUAUGAUGAAACACCACCUGCUAUUGUUAUCGUUAAAGAAAAAAAAGAUGUACUUUGUGCUCUUUUUUUAAAAUUAACUGUCGUUCUGACCCUGAGUGUUGAAAGAAAGCCGUUUGAGUCGACUGGCUGCACAGGACGGUUGCUUUGAUAACUCCCAUCCCCUAGUAGUUUCCUUGACAACGCUGGACCAGUGCUGGUUUGCUCAGUUCUGAAAUCUUGUUGAGCUACGGAAUUAUGUGCAAAGCUGACAAAGCAUGCUGAUUCAGCAGCAGAAUACUGCACAACUUUGGCAGCUUGGUCAUGCAUUUGACAUAUUUCCACAACCACAUGAUACAGUUUGGACAAAUCAAAAACGGGCCAGUUCCUGUCUAGAAAAAGCAAAACCUUUUCGUUCAUUUUGCAUUUGCCUCAAACUAGUCACUAUAUUUAUCAGAAUAUAAACGUGCGCAGCAGCAAGAAACGAGCUGCGACUGCAACAAAAGCUACGCCGUACGUCAUGAAUUCCCUCUGCAGAACCAACAGAGAGGGUAAUUGAUAAUAUCUACGAGCUGGAACUCAAAAUGUUUAAUGAAACAACACAAUUAACAAGUCACAUAUGCUGCAAUUUGUUCUGUCCUUUAUGUAGAGUUUUAAAAGAAGUACCUCAUGCAUGCUGGAAACAGAUCAUAUCUGUAAGUUCUCAUAUUUGCAAGAGAAUUGAGAAUAGAAAGGAAUUGGGGAAGUUAAUAUUUUGAUGGCCUCAUGGGGUAAUGCUCCGACAUGACAAAAUCAAAUUGCAGUUAUCAUCUACUUGAGGGUCACGGGAGCUGGAGCCAAUCCCAGCUCACACACGCUGGACAGAUCGCCGGUCCAUUGCAGAGCCAAAAUGCAGAAAUAAAAAAACAUUCACUCUCACAAUCACACAGAGUAUCUCAUUAAACUAAUCCCUAAUCUGCAUGUUUUAGGACUGUGUGAGGAAGCCGGGGGACCCAGAGAAAACGAGCAAACCCGUCAAAAGAAAAGGCCCUCAGUCGAACCAGGACCUGAACUGACGACCACCUUGCUCUCGCUCAGCGGAGCCCAGACCAGAUCAGCGUUAUAAUGAUCCAGCUCGACAGAUGACCGCUGCCUCAGCUCUGGCACCUCCGCCUGGUACCGUGACCCAAUGUUUAUCCGCCUGGAAACAGGACAUCAAGUGUGAGCGAC